AGCCUCACUCUCUCUCACACAGAACAUCGGACAAGCAACAAACAUAGUUGUGUUGUGGCAGAACACCAUCGACUGCGGCGGUAGCUGCUCCGCCGGGCGCUGCCCAGUUGCUAAUGGUAACUUCAGUAGCAGGGACAGGACUGUGGGGAGGCCAGAGACGCUACAGAGGAGGGAGAUGUGUCACCGGCGGAGAACCAAGAGAGGGACACAGAGACGCUACAGAGGAGGGAGAUGUGUCACCGGCGGAGAACCAAGAGAGGGAUACAGAGGAGGGAGAUGUGUCACCGGCGGAGAACCAAGAGAGGGACACAGAGACGCUACAGAGGAGGGAGAUGUGUCACCGGCGGAGAACCAAGAGAGGGACACAGAGACGCUACAGAGGAGGGAGAUGUGUCACCGGCGGAGAACCAACUAGACUCGGCGUUAGCAUGUAAACAUAAAGUUGUUCCUGUGAAACAAGUUAUUGGCAAUUAAAAAGUUAAUAGAAAAUAAUUGAACUUGUGUAACUUGGUGUGCUGCUGGAGCAAGUGCAUUCUGUGACCGGACACCAUGUUUUCCCAUGAUUCAGUAUGAUAGCCGUACUGACCUCCUUUGAAAAAGUAACUUCAUGUAAACAUUUUUCUUUUUAGUUUACGGUAUUUGUACAAAUUAACAUUUUAAGUAUUGAGAUGUUACACAAAAAAUAAAUUCAAACAGGCCUGUCUGGCUGUCUGUUUCAUACUUACUGUA